rnacentral:rRNA from 1 species
AGAGUUUGAUCCUGGCUCAGAACGAACGCUGGCGGCAGGCUUAACACAUGCAAGUCGAACGCACCGCAAGGUGAGUGGCAGACGGGUGAGUAACGCGUGGGAACGUGCCCUUCAGUUCGGGAUAACCCAGGGAAACUUGGGCUAAUACCGGAUACGUGCGAGAGCAGAAAGAUUCAUCGCUGAAGGAUCGGCCCGCGUCUGAUUAGCUAGUUGGUAGGGUAAUGGCCUACCAAGGCGACGAUCAGUAGCUGGUCUGAGAGGAUGAUCAGCCACAUUGGGACUGAGACACGGCCCAAACUCCUACGGGAGGCAGCAGUGGGGAAUAUUGGACAAUGGGCGCAAGCCUGAUCCAGCCAUGCCGCGUGAGUGAUGAAGGCCUUAGGGUUGUAAAGCUCUUUCGGCGGGGACGAUAAUGACGGUACCCGCAGAAGAAGCCCCGGCUAACUUCGUGCCAGCAGCCGCGGUAAUACGAAGGGGGCUAGCGUUGUUCGGAAUCACUGGGCGUAAAGGGCGCGUAGGCGGCCUGAUAAGUCGGGGGUGAAAGCCUGUGGCUCAACCACAGAAUUGCCUUCGAUACUGUCGGGCUUGAGACCGGAAGAGGUCAGUGGAACUGCGAGUGUAGAGGUGAAAUUCGUAGAUAUUCGCAAGAACACCAGUGGCGAAGGCGGCUGACUGGUCCGGUUCUGACGCUGAGGCGCGAAAGCGUGGGGAGCAAACAGGAUUAGAUACCCUAGUAGUCC